UACGGGGGGGCAAGCGUUGUUCGGAAUUACUGGGCGUAAAGGGCUCGUAGGCGGCCAACUAAGUCAGACGUGAAAUCCCUCGGCUUAACCGGGGAACUGCGUCUGAUACUGGAUGGCUUGAGUUUGGGAGAGGAUGCGGAAUUCCAGGUGUAGCGGUGAAAUGCGUAGAUAUCUGGAGGAACACCGGUGGCGAAGGCGGCAUCCUGGACCACACUGACGCUGAUGAGCGAAAGCCAGGGGAGCAAACGGG
rnacentral:rRNA from 1 species